rnacentral:pre_miRNA from 11 species
UUUUAAACCUCUCUCCACCCAGCCAUAUUGAAAGACCCCCCCAGAGUGGGGAGACCCUCACUCAAGUCUCGGGAUAAGCCGACAUCCCAAUAAUUCAAGAGAGACU